rnacentral:sRNA from 1 species
AUUCUGAGCCUCUGUGGUUCAAAACGAGUGCCUUUUUGCUGA